rnacentral:rRNA from 1 species
GACAGCGGCCAUAGGCCGGGGGAAACGCCUGUUCCCGUUCCGAACACAGAAGCAAAGCCCCGGUACGACUUUGCCAGUACUUUCCUGACGGAAGGGAACGCGGGUUGCUGCUGUCA